rnacentral:rRNA from 1 species
AUUGAACGCUGGCGGCAGGCUUAACACAUGCAAGUCGAGCGAGCGGCAGACGGGUGAGUAAUGUCUGGGAAACUCCCUGAUGGAGGGGGAUAACUACUGGAAACGGUAGCUAAUACCGCAUACCAUCAGAUGUGGCCAGAGGGGAUUAGCUAGUUGGUGGGGUAAUGGCUCACCUGGGCGACGAUCCCUAGCUGGUCUGAGGGGAUGACAGGGCACACUGGAACUGUGACACGGUCCCAAGGCCUACGGGAGGCAGCAGUGGGGAAGAGGGGACAAUGGGCGCAAGCCUGAUGCAGCCAUGCCGCGUGUGUGAAGAAGGGCUUCGGGUUGUAAGGCACUUUCAGUGAGGAGGCGUUACUCGCAGAAGAAGCACCGGCUAACUCCGUGCCAGCAGCCGCGGUAAUUC